GUGAGCAGGACCGCACCUGGUCCUGAUCCUGGACCAGUACUCCACAGAGCAGCAGACUCCACUUGUUGACUUCAUUAACGCUCGAUACAACAUUUGAGUUUCUCACUUAUCUGAUCAGAUCCUCUUCAGGCUCCGGUCUCUGGACGGACAGUUUCUCUCCUUCCAUCCUGCAGAGCCGCUGCAACACUGAACCCACAAAAACAGUGAAACACGUCCUCACAGAGCAAGACGCUGUCCUCUCUGAGCGAGGAGGAGUUCUCCAAGAGCAGACGUCCUCUGAGGGGGCGAGUUAAAAACACAUAAAGGGGGCGGAGGAGGAGGUCCGUUCCUCGGCUGAGCGGGAGGUUCAGUUCUGCAGCAGCCGGAGGAGGAAGAGGAGGAGGGAGAGGAGGGUGGAGGAGGAGGAGCAGGUGAGAGUGGAGGCUACUCCUACAACAGUGUACACCUGAAGAAGCUUUUUUUAGAGCGGGACUCUGUGAUCUUAACCGGCCCGCCUCCUCCUGCUGGGUUGUUGUCGUUCUGCAGGACAGAGAGAAGAAGUGAAACUCUUCAUCCUCCUCACAGUUCACUGAUGAUGAUCUGAUUCAUGUUCAUCUUUCACACGACUGUUCAAAGAGCUGAGUACUUCAGGUCUCUUCAGGAACAUUUUGAGAGACUCAGACUGAGACUACAGAUGAAACAAACUCACCAUUUUUCUGUUGAGUCUCGUCAUGAUGUCUCUGCCGAGGGUGAAGAAGGCCUGAGGAGCAGAGAGGGCAGAGAGGUUUGGUUAAUGCUCCUGACAUGAUGAAGGGAGGUCAAAUGUCGGAUCAGGACUCACCUCCUCGACGUUGAUGCUGGACUUGGCGCUGGUUUCCAAAAACUUAAUCCCGUAAUCGAUGGCCAGCUGAAAGAUGAGAGGAGACCGAGUCAGACUUUUAGUUUAAACAUGGAGAAAAAGUUUACGUCCAUAUUUCAGUCUCAUUGAAUCCGGUCAUUUGUUACAGUAUUUCAUGUCCAGCUGUUUGUGAUCAGACCACAAACACUUCAGAGUUUCAGAGCUUUAAAAACAGCUUCAUGUGUUGAUGAUUUGAUUAUAGUUUCAGAUUGUCAGAGCUGAAUCUUAUGUAUCAUUAGACAUGAUUUAAAAACAUCCUGCUUUAAGCUCCUUGUAUGUUUUUUUCCAAAUCUUAAAGCAUUGUCUAACAGUUUCAGAAGAUUUCCUCAGAUUAAUUUAAUGCUGCAUAUUUUGUAAAUAAAGAUGAUGUCAUAUUAA